AAAUGUUCUUUGAUUGCCACAAACCUUCACACAAAAUCACAAUAUACAUUAACAAAACUUACUUAUAUGUAAGUUAUUAUACAUACUUCAAUCAAACAUAAUUGUUUCAUAUCUUAGAUAAAGAUUAUGCUAGAAUAUUUUCUCAUUGCACCAUCCAUCUUUGAAUAAUUAAUUGAUAAUAAUAAUUUUUGACAUUUUAUUGUAAAUUCAAUAUGCCAUAAAAAUACUCUGUUCAAAAUGUCACCUCCUCUUAUUACGUUUAUAAGCUUUUUUUUCUCCAAUCCUUUGUGUUUCCUAAACCACUCAUUAUACAAAUACAAAUGACACCAAUAAAGUAAUGAAUCAAUGAAAAGUCCACCCUAUAAAACAAUUGGCUCAAUCCUCAAAAUGGACAAAGAAUCUUCUUAGAAGUUUGAAGUUAGAAGUUUGAAGAUGUUCUCACCAUAGAAUAUGGUGUCUUCCGUCCUUUAAAUCAUUAUAAAAGUGUUCCGUCCUUUAAAUCAUUCAAAUCAGCUCUUAUCUCCCAAUUCGAUUGCACACAAGCCUAGCCAAGAUACAAUUAUUAUAUGCUGUUCAAUACACCGUCAUCUUCUUGACAAUCUUCAUCCAUGAAGCAGGAAGCCGGAAUUACAAAAUUAACUAACAAACAAACAAAUAUUAAGUGCAUAUCAACGCAAGAAUGCCAGAUAGCCCAAGUUCAUGGCAAAAAAAAACUUCCGCUAGAUUGACAUCAUAAGUUAAAGUAUCUACAAUAUUCAAUCUUCUUAAAGACCCAAAACCUCUUGAUUGUUCACGCGCUUGCAUAGGAUACACCAAACAUGAGCUUACGAUCAAGCCUAUUGUCUAGCUUCCGUUCAUCACCUCGAGCACUAUAUUCGAAACAUAGAAAGCCAUCAAAACAAUCUAGGAACCAAAGAAAAACCACAUGAUUACCUACCAUCCAGUGCUCCUCGCUCUCACGUUGUUUGCAUACGACGUUAUCUGAUAAGUGUCGUUCCGAAUUGGACCUGUUGUCGAUGGUGAUC
rnacentral:lncRNA from 1 species